AAUAAGAUAAGUUAAGAAUAAACUACGGGGCUCAUAACCCAAAAAUGAAAGUUAAAAUCUUUCUCUUAUUA
rnacentral:tRNA from 1 species